rnacentral:rRNA from 1 species
GAUGAACGCUGGCGGCGUGCUUAACACAUGCAAGUCGAACGAUGAUGCCCAGCUUGCUGGGUGGAUUAGUGGCGAACGGGUGAGUAACACGUGAGUAACCUGCCCUUGACUCUGGGAUAAGCCUGGGAAACUGGGUCUAAUACCGGAUACGACCAUCUGGCGCAUGUCAUGGUGGUGGAAAGCUUUUGUGGUUUUGGAUGGGCUCGCGGCCUAUCAGCUUGUUGGUGGGGUAAUGGCCUACCAAGGCGACGACGGGUAGCCGGCCUGAGAGGGUGACCGGCCACACUGGGACUGAGACACGGCCCAGACUCCUACGGGAGGCAGCAGUGGGGAAUAUUGCACAAUGGGCGCAAGCCUGAUGCAGCGACGCCGCGUGAGGGAUGACGGCCUUCGGGUUGUAAACCUCUUUCAGUAGGGAAGAAGCGAAAGUGACGGUACCUGCAGAAGAAGCGCCGGCUAACUACGUG